GUUGUUGAAAGAGUUUGUGUGAAUCUUUGAAGUGUAAGUCUUUAUGCUUGAUAGAGUUUGGGUGAAUCUUUGAAGUGAAAGUCUUUAUGUUAAAUGAUCUUGUAUCAUUGAACCUUUUUUGCAGGCUCUCUGUUUCCAUAUUGUGAAGGUGUUGGAGUUCGUUGCAAAGAAAGAUAGUCUGCAACUGCCCCAUGGUUUUACAGCAUUACAAGUACUCUUAGUUAUAGGACGAAUUGUUUUAUCCUGGUGAUAAAGAUACAGAAGCUCACGAACUCUUUGGGAGCUAUGUUUCCAUCAUUACUUGCAGUUUUAAGAGCCAAUUGAUUCCCUUCUACAGAAGCAGUAGCAGAAGACGGGUUAAUGGUGAACCUCUCCACAGGAACAUUAUCAUUACUGAAAAAGAUGACUGCUACUCUUUCAACAAGACCAUGUUACAAACAUUGUUCAUACGUCAUUCUAUAAUGAUUAUAGAAACAAAGGCUGAUCUUUGA